rnacentral:rRNA from 1 species
GACGAACGCUGGCGGCGUGCCUAACACAUGCAAGUCGAACGGACAGGCCCUGCGCUUGCGGGGUGCUCGAGUGGCGCACGCGUGAGUAUCACGCGAGUAACCCGCCCCUGACUUUGGGAGAACUCCACGAAAAUGCGGAUCAUACCCGAUAGGAGCUCCUGCUGCACGGUGUGGGUUGGAAAGUUUCGGCGGUUGGGGAUGGAUUGGCGGGGUAUCAGCUUGUUGGUGGGGUAGUGGCUUACCAAGGCUUUGACGGGUAGCCCGCCUGAGCGGGUGAGCGGCGACACAGGGACUGAGGGACGGCCCAGAUUGCUACGGGAGGGAGAUGGGGGAAAUAUUGCAGAAUGGGCGGAAGGCUGAUGAAGCAGGGUCGCGGGCGGGAUGACUGCGUUAGGGUUGUAGAACGAUUUCGCCUGUGACGGAGCGUGAGUGACGGUAAUGGGUAAAGAAGCACCGGCUAACUACGUG